AGUUUGAUCCUGGCUCAGGACGAACGCUGGCGGCGUGCUUAACACAUGCAAGUCGAACGGAAAGGCCCGCUUGCGGGUACUCGAGUGGCGAACGGGUGAGUAACACGUGGGUGAUCUGCCCUGGACUCUGGGAUAAGCCUGGGAAACUGGGUCUAAUACCGGAUAUGACCUUACAUCGCAUGGUGUUUGGUGGAAAGCUUUUGCGGUUCAGGAUGGGCCCGCGGCCUAUCAGCUUGUUGGUGGGGUAAUGGCCUACCAAGGCGACGACGGGUAGCCGACCUGAGAGGGUGAUCGGCCACACUGGGACUGAGACACGGCCCAGACUCCUACGGGAGGCAGCAGUGGGGAAUAUUGCACAAUGGGCGCAAGCCUGAUGCAGCGACGCCGCGUGAGGGAUGACGGCCUUCGGGUUGUAAACCUCUUUCACCAGGGACGAAGCGCAAGUGACGGUACCUGGAGAAGAAGCACCGGCCAACUACGUGCCAGCAGCCGCGGUAAUACGUAGGGUGCGAGCGUUGUCCGGAAUUACUGGGCGUAAAGAGCUCGUAGGCGGUUUGUCGCGUCGUCUGUGAAAUUCUGCAACUCAAUUGUAGGCGUGCAGGCGAUACGGGCAGACUUGAGUACUACAGGGGAGACUGGAAUUCCUGGUGUAGCGGUGAAAUGCGCAGAUAUCAGGAGGAACACCGGUGGCGAAGGCGGGUCUCUGGGUAGUAACUGACGCUGAGGAGCGAAAGCGUGGGUAGCGAACAGGAUUAGAUACCCUGGUAGUCCACGCCGUAAACGGUGGGUGCUAGGUGUGGGGCUCAUUUCACGAGUUCCGUGCCGUAGCUAACGCAUUAAGUACCC
rnacentral:rRNA from 1 species